CACGCCGUAAACGAUGAGUGCUAGGCGUUGGGGGUAUUGACCCCUCCAGUGCCGCAGCUAACGCGUUAAGCACUCCGCCUGGGGAGUACGGCCGCAAGGCUAAAACUCAAAGGAAUUGACGGGGGCCCGCACAAGCGGUGGAGCAUGUGGUUUAAUUCGACGCAACGCGAAGAACCUUACCUGGGUUAAAUCCACCGGAAUCCGUCAGAGAUGAUGGGGUGCCCUUCGGGGAACCGGUGAGAAGGUGC
rnacentral:rRNA from 1 species